GCUUGUCUCAAAGAUUAAGCCAUGCAUGUCUUAGUGUAAAUAACUCUUAUGAAACUGCGAAUGGCUCAUUAAAUCAGUUAUCGUUUAUUUGAUGGUCCCUUACUACAUGGAUAACCGUAGUAAUUCUAGAGCUAAUACAUGCAUCAAACCCCGACUUCUGGAAGGGGUGUAUUUAUUAGAUGGAAACCAAUGCAGGGCAACCUGGAAUAUGGUGAUUCAUAAUAACUCGCGGAUCGGUUUACCGAUGCAUCAUUCAAGUUUCUGCCCUAUCAUGCUCUCGAUGGUAGUGUAUUGGACUACCAUGGCUCUCACGGGUAACGGGGAAUUAGGGUUCGAUUCCGGAGAAGGAGCCUGAGAAACGGCUACUACAUCUAAGGAAGGCAGCAGG
rnacentral:rRNA from 1 species